GGAGGAGUGCUCUCUGCCUUGAAAAGAUCCAGCUGCUAAACUGUGAGCCACAGCUUACCCCUGCCUCAGCUGGAUACUCUCCAAGACACACAGGGGAUCUUCCUGACUCAGGGAUCAAAUCCAUGUCUCCUGCAUGGCAGGCAGAUUCUUU